rnacentral:rRNA from 1 species
UACACACCGCCCGUCACACCAUGGGAGUUGGUUCUACCUGAAGGCGGUGCGCUAACCCGCAAGGGAGGCAGCCGACCACGGUAGGGUCAGCGACUGGGGUG